rnacentral:sRNA from 2 species
CGAGUUGAUCGCUAGGGUUCCUGCAUCGAAGUUUCGAUGUGAACGGUCCGAGAGCGGUCGCCGCGGCGGGAGACAUCCGCCCGGAUGCACGGCGGGAUAAAAGCCCGGGAGAC